rnacentral:rRNA from 1 species
CCCGGCUAGGUUCGGGCCAGCAACCGCGGGUAAUACGAAGGGCGCUAGCGUUGUGAAGAUUUACUGGGCCUAAAGCUAACGUAAGCGGAUCGAUGAAUCACGGGUGAAAUCCCAGGGCUCAACCCUGGAACUGCCUUUGAUACUGUAGAUCUGGGGCAUGGAAGAGGCGAGUGGAAUUCAGAGUGUAGAGGUGAAAUUCAUUUCUAUUUGGAGGAACGCCAGUGGCGAAGGCGGCUCACUGGUCCAUUACUGAAGCUGAGGCGCGAAAGCUUGAGUAGCAUACAGGAUUAGAUACCCUGGUAGUCCACGCCAUAAACUAUGAAUGUUAGCCGUCGGGAAAUUACUGUUCUGUGUCGCAGCUAUCUCAUUUCCUCUUCCGCCUGGGGAUACGGUCUCAAGAUUAAAACU